ensembl:lncRNA
AUGGUUUGCUCUUCUUUAUUUGCUUGCAGGUGCAUGAAGAGAGUUGCUGCUGAUUUUUUCAAGUUUCUAAAUGAUCCAUGCCUACACUACCUUACAAAGGCUUUUAUAUCACAACCCAGACAGCACCCUAGGUAUCUGCAGGGGAUGAGAAAGUGGAACGUUUGUCCUGACUCAGGCCAAGCUAGAACAACAAGAUUUUUUUCCCUCAUCGAUUUUCAUUCCAGAUUUGGAGGGGAGUCUUUCUUCAAGAUUCAAAUUCAGUCAGAUCACCUUGGAGCAGCUAGUUCUAAUUUCUCAGAAUUUCCUCCAAAAAAGAAAGCAAACCAAAGUUAUCCCCCACCUGAUUACCUGAGGAAUAUUUGGGGACUUCAGAAGGUUGUAUGCUGCAGAAAGAGAUAUUGUCUGCUUGAUGGCAUUAUUCUGUCCUCAGCUGAAAUUCUUAGUAAUCAUCUAAAUCACCCAUGAUGGAACGGUUGUUGAUGGAUUUCUUUUGGAAGUGGAUCUUGGGAACUCUGUCAUUACUGCUGUUCCUUUGAGAAAGCAGCAGUUUUAUUUGCUCUUGAAGAGUUGGGUAAAUUUACUUUUGUGGAUGAAACUGAUCAUUGAGCUCCUCAGCUGUGACUCUCAUAGAGCCAGCCAAGAAAAGUAAUGUUGGAUAAUGUUUGAUUGUCAACUUGAAAACCAGACGAUACUAAGUAAGCUUCAGGUUAUAUUCAGGAUUUUAAAAUUAAACAGAGGAAGAUGCUUAGUCUAUCCUGCUACUCUUGGAGGCCAUGCAUGGAGAACAGUCAACAAACAAACAUUUAUAAAGCCCCUAUUCUGUACCAGACACUGUGCUAAGCCAGGGCAUACACAGACUAAAAUGACGUAGUCUGUAUGAUCCAAGAACUUAGACACUUAUACCAGCAGGGAGAGGAUAGUCCCGUUGGCAAUGAGGGGCAGGAAGGAGGAUCAGGAGAGGCUUUUCAUGAGCUGAGAUUUGAAGGAAACAAGAGAUUAAAAGUUUAUAACAAGGGAAAGUGAGGAAAGAAAGAGGGCCUCCAGAGCUAUCCUUACUCUUCCUCUUGUCUUCCAGGUUUGGAGCCUGAGUUUUAUCCUUUACUCCUCAUUCCCCAUCCCUCCAAAUAUGCUGUGUGAUGCUAAAUCUCUGUUUCCAGGAGUAUCUGGGGCACCUGGCCCUUUUAUUUCCCUCCCCCAUCUACCAGCUUAGUCUAGGCCCUUGUCAGCCCUGCAGGAGUUGGUGGCAACAGCCCAAUGGCUCCCCCCCCCCACCUCAAGUGUCUCACUACUCCAGUCCAUACUCCUGAACACUAUGACCAACCCCAUUUUCCUUGAGUGCAGAUUUGACUGUGCCAUUGCCCUGUACAACCCAGGCUGCUGCCUCCCCAUUGCCUCUAGGGUCAGAUAUAAAACACUUGGUUUAAAUUUGAAAAGCCCAUCCUUCACCAGUUGACCCCAACCUAUCUUUUCAGUUUCAUUGGACAUUACCUCUCUGCCUACUCUUGACAAUGUAUCCAAAGGAGCCUUUUCUCUGUUCCUCACAUCUCUUUUUCUGUGCCUCAGGGCUGAAUAGCAGUCCUUUCCCCCCUCUUCUGUGUACCACUCCUGUCCACAUGAAUCCCCACCCCAUUGGGAGGGCCUUCUCUCCCAAACCACCUUCUAUUUUAGUACUUUGUGCUGGUUUUCUUGAUAUUUCUUAUAUAUGUGCUUAAACAAAUUCCUAUAUUUAUAUAUAUCUCAUAUAUGUGUAUGUGUUUAUGUGUCUGUGUACUUACUGUUCCUCACAUUAGACUGUAAGCACCCUCCCUAUGGUCAGGGUAAUUUAAUUUUUCAUAUUUGCAUCUCUGGGGCCUAGCACAGUGUCUGCUAUGGAGUAAGUGCUCAAUCAAAGCUUGCUGGUGGAUUCUUGGCAUGGAAAGUAGCCAGUGAAGGGGCAAAGGAUGGAAGACAGAGUGUCAUCCAUAUGUGAGGACCAUCGACAAGAAUGUUCUGCUUAGACCUGAGAGUGUGGGAAGGGGAAGAGAUAGGUAGGUAACAGAAUCAGAAAGGGAGAUUAGGCCCAGACAUUCUGCAUUGUAUCAGAGAGUAGAAAGGGAGGCCAUUGGAAUUUAUCAUUUAUAGGAAGGAUUUGAUCAGACCUGCUCUUGAAGAAAAUGACUUUAUCUUCUGGAAAGCAGUAAGGAAGUGAUCACAACAGUCCAGGUGAGAGGGGAUGAGGGCCCAAACCAGGGUAGUAGCUCCAUGAGUAGAGGGACAAUACAGGAGGGGACGGACACAGGUGAAAGAUGUUGUGCAGGUAGAAAUAAUAAGCUCUGACAAACUGAUUGGCUCAAUGGGGUGAGAGACAGUGGGAAAUUGAGAAUAACCCUGGGUUUGUAAAUCUGUGUGAGUAGAAAGUUGGUGGUAUCCUUGAGAAGAAAAAAGAAGUUUGACUAAUGGCUAGUUUUGGGGGGAAAGAUACUGAGUUCUGUUUUGGACACAAUAUCUAUGCGACAUCUAGUUUGAAAUAUGGAAUAGACAGUUGGCGAUAUGAGACUAAAGCUCAGACAGAACCUAAGGUUGGAUCUGGAGAUGUGGGAUUCAUAUGCAGAGGGAUGCUGAUCAGAUCCUGGGAACUGAAAACCAACUGUAAAUGACAUAGCAACUCUGAUCAAUACAAUGAUCCUUCACAACUCCAAAGGAGUCAGGAAGAAAAAUGCUAUCCACCUCUGGAUAGAAAACUGAUGGAUUCAGAGGGCAGACUGAAGCACAGUUUUUCCCUUCAUUUUUCUUGCUAUUUUUUUCAGACUAUGUGGAAAUACGGUUUGCACAACUUCAUAUGUAUAAUUGGCAUUGUAUUUCUUGUCUUCUCUGUGGGUGGGAGAGAGGCCAGAGAGAGGGAGAGAAUUUGGAGCUGAAAAUAAAAAUAAUUUCUUUAAAAGAGAAAAAAAAAUA